GGCUCACUGCAACCUCCGCCUCCCAGAUUCAUGCAAUUCUCCUGCCUCAGCCUCCCAAGUAGCUGGGAUUACAGGCUUGCACCACCAUGCCUGGCUAAUUUUGUAUUUUUAGUAGAGACAGGGUUUCUCCAUGACACCGAGUCUCAUCUUUCACCCAGGCUAGAGUACAGUGGCACAAUCUCAGCUCACUACAACCUCGGCCUCCCGGGUUCAAGCAAUUCUUCUACCUCAGCCU
rnacentral:lncRNA from 1 species